rnacentral:rRNA from 1 species
UACAGAGGUCUCAAGCGUUGUUCGGAUUCAUUGGGCGUAAAGGGUGCGUAGGCGGCGCGGUAAGUCGGGUGUGAAAUCUUGGAGCUUAACUCCGAAACUGCAUUCGAUACUGCCGUGCUUGAGGACUGGAGAGGAGACUGGAAUUUACGGUGUAGCGGUGAAAUGCGUAGAUAUCGUAAGGAACACCAGUGGCGAAAGCGACUUCCUGGUCCAAUACUGACGUUCAUGUGCGAAAGCGUGGGGAGCGAACAGG